rnacentral:rRNA from 1 species
CAGCAGCCGCGGGAAAACGGAGGGGGCUAGCGUUGUUCGGAAUUACUGGGCGUAAAGCGCACGUAGGCGGCUUGGUAAGUUAGAGGUGAAAGCCCGGAGCUCAACUCCGGAAUUGCCUUUAAGACUGCCGAGCUAGCAGGUGAGAGAGGUAAGUGGAAUUCCGAGUGUAGAGGUGAAAUUCGUAGAUAUUCGGAAGAACACCAGUGGCGAAGGCGGCUUACUGGCUCAUACUGGACGCUGAGGUGCGAAAGCGUGGGGAGCAAACAGGAUUAGAGACCCCCGUAGUCCCUGUCUCUUAUAC